rnacentral:rRNA from 1 species
CCCUUAGAUGUUCUGGGCUGCACGCGUGCUACAAUGGCGUUUCCAGCAAGUCUGCGAACCCGAGAGGGCCAGCGGAUCUUCGAAUUGGCGUCGUGAUCGGGACAGUCGAUUGCAAUUAUUUGACUCAAACGAGGAAUUCCUUGUAAUCGCGAUUCAUCAUAUCGCGCUGAAUACGUCCCUGCCCUUUGUACACACCGCCCGUCGCUACUACUGAUUGGAUGUUUAAGCGAGGUUCUCGAACUGCUAGCGACUUAGCUUCGGUGAGGUCGCAGUGUGGGAAGUGAACCUAGCUUUGGUGUCUAGAGGAAGUAAAAGUCGUAACA